UGCACGUGAUGUUUUUCUCACGAUGGUCUUCCGAGCCUACAGGGUUUUGACGACGAUGCCUUGUGGCAAAGCUGAUGCGAUUAG
rnacentral:snoRNA from 1 species